GAAAAUGUGGUUUAAUUCGAUGAUACGCGAGGAACCUUACCCCGGCUCGAACGGUGCAGGAAGAGAUCUGGAGACAGUGACGCCCUUCGGGGCCUGCAUCGAGGUGCUGCAUGGUUGUCGUCAGCUCGUGCCGUGAGGUGUCGGCUCAAGUGCCAUAACGAGCGCAACCCUUGUCGUCAGUUGCCAUCAGGUAGAGCUGGGGACUCUGACGAGACUGCCACCGCAAGAUGUGAGGAGGGGGGGGAUGACGUCAAAUCAGCACGGCCCUUACGUCCGGGGCGACACACGUGUUACAAUGGCGGCCACAGAGGGAAGCUAUCCUGGUGACAGGAUGCGGAUCUCGAAAACCCGUCUCAGUUCGGACUGGAGUCUGCAACCCGACUCCACGAAGUUGGAUUCGCUAGUAAUCGCGCAUCAGCCAUGGCGCGGUGAAUACGUUCCCGGGCCUUGUACACACCGCCCGUCAAGCCAUGAAAGCCGGGGGCACCUGAAGUCUGUGACCGCGAGGGNCGGCCUAAGGUGAAACUGGUAAUUGGGGCU
rnacentral:rRNA from 1 species